GACGAACGCUGGCGGCGUGCCUAAUACAUGCAAGUAGAACGCUGAAGGAGGAGCUUGCUUCUCCGGAUGAGUUGCGAACGGGUGAGUAACGCGUAGGUAACCUGCCUGGUAGCGGGGGAUAACUAUUGGAAACGAUAGCUAAUACCGCAUAAGAGUAGAUGUCGCAUGACAUUUGCUUAAAAGGUGCAACUGCACCACUACCAGAUGGACCUGCGUUGUAUUAGCUAGUUGGUGAGGUAACGGCUCACCAAGGCAACGAUACAUAGCCGACCUGAGAGGGUGAUCGGCCACACUGGGACUGAGAAACGGCCCAGACUCCUACGGGAGGCAGCAGUAGGGAAUCUUCGGCAAUGGACGGAAGUCUGACCGAGCAACGCCGCGUGAGUGAAGAAGGUUCUCGGAUCGUAAAGCUCUGUUGUAAGAGAAGAACGAGUGUGAGAGUGGAAAGUUCACACUGUGACGGUAUCUUACCAGAAAGGGACGGCUAACUACGUG
rnacentral:rRNA from 1 species